CUGUGUGUGCAUAUAUAUUUUUUUUGUGGUGAGACCAAACACAAAAGUCCCCACUGUGUAAUUGCAAACAAUACUGUUGUGCAUCACCUGUAUAUCUUAAGUUGGAUUUUGGAAAGUCCUCCUUGGGCACAUAGACUCAAGAAAUCAUACUUCCACAACUAUGAAGAGUUUACCAGCUUGACAUGCAAAUGACAAAUACAGGCAUCGUGCUUCCGACGUAAUUCUGCAUUUCUGAAG